AUAUAUAUAUAUAUAUAUAUAUAUAUAGAGAGAGAGAGAGAGAGAGAGAGAGAGAGAGAGAGAGCUAGGCUGGUAUACUAUCGGUAGCACGGAGGCCUCCAUGCUCCCAAGUUGUUUUCAAUGAUGCGGCUUCCAAAUCGACGAUCAGCUCUGUUAGACUUGAUCUACACUAUUACAAGUUUUUGGAAACUAAAUUUUAUAAUUUUUCGACAUCAUUUGGUUAGUGAUCAAAAUGUCUCAAAAUUGAUAAUUUUAAUGAAAGAUGUGAUGCGUUUGUGAAUUUAAUGAUGUAAAACAAUCCAAAUUUGAUAAAAUUUUUAUAGAAAUUUUUUUUUACUAUUUAUAGUAACAUCAGAACCUUUGAUCUUAAAUUAAAGUCUUUUAUCAUCAUUUUUUAUGAAAUUUUUAUUUUCAGCCGUUCAUUUUUAGACUACUCGUUUGAUAGGUAAAAGAUGCCGAAAAAUUAUAAAAUUUAGUUUCCAAAUACUUUCAAUACUGUAGAUCAAGUCUAACGGAGCCGAUCGUCGAUUUAGAAGCCGCAUCAUUGAAAACAACUUCGUAGCAUAGAGGCCUCCGUGCUACCGGUAGUAUACCAGCCUAGCUCUAUAUAUAUAUAGAA
rnacentral:lncRNA from 1 species